rnacentral:rRNA from 1 species
UGGGGAAUCUUGCACAAUGGGCGAAAGCCUGAUGCAGCAACGCCGCGUGGGGGACGAAUGCCUUCGGGUUGUAAACCCCUUUCAGCAGGAACGAAACUGACGGUACCUGCAGAAGAAGCCCCGGCCAACUACGUGCCAGCAGCCGCGGUAAUACGUAGGGGGCGAGCGUUGUCCGGAUUCAUUGGGCGUAAAGAGCUCGUAGGCGGCUUGGUAAGUCAAAUGUGAAACCUCCAGGCUCAACUUGGAGAUGCCACUUGAUACUGCCAUGGCUAGAGUCCGGUAGGGGAUCACGGAAUUCCUGGUGUAGCGGUGAAAUGCGCAGAUAUCAGGAGGAACACCGGUGGCGAAGGCGGUGGUCUGGGCCGGAACUGACGCUGAGGAGCGAAAGCGUGGGGAGCGAACAGGAUUAGAUACCCCCGUAGUCC